CAAAACCUCCUGUUGCUUGUUAAAGACCCAUGUUACAGCUGAGUCUAACAGCGUCUCUUCCUCGGACUGCGCUGUGUAAAGACCGUCAUUUCUUUUUGGCCUACACCCCAUUCUGUCUUUAUUAUUGCAUAACAGAGGAGUAAAUACAGCAGAUUCAUCCUCUCUAAUGACUUCCUCGCCGGCCGCCUGUCCCUCGACACCUUGCUUCGGUUUGACUAAUGCCCUGCAUCCUGGUGAGUCCGAGCUGAAACACUGGGGAGGAUGCAGCGAUGUGGCACGAUGACAACAGCAGCAAGACAAAGGUGAUGCAGAGGUCACAGGAGGAUUGUACAAGGAGUGUCUUGUGCAUCAGAAACAUUAAGAAUGUAAUGUGCUAUUACUCUAUGGGCUGCCAGCUGCCUUCCUCCGGGCUCGGCUGAUAAUAGAGCAGGGCUUUAGGACUCGUCUGACAGCGAACACAUCACCACCGACAAGGGCCCUCGACACACCGCCGCCUUAAUACCAACCGUGCCCGCCGCUCCUUGGGCAAAAAUUGACAUCGUCUGGAGAGCAAAGCAAUCAGCCGACCCGACAACGCAGUAACUCCCUGUAAGAGCGGCAGUCGGUGGGGAUUUGCUGCUGGUGGUCUGUGGGUUUAAUUCACUGAUUCACCAAUCUGUUUCCUCCUAAUACCACCGGGGAUGAGAGCCCGACGAUGGCAGCAGCACAGAAAGAAAAACAUGAGGACAAACUCUGGCGUGUUGGUAUACAGAGCUGUAAAUACUCUGGAGAUCAGCACAGGUAAAGCAGACAAAAGGAGACCGCGGGCUGAACCCGGAGGAGUCGAGGCCCACAGCACAAACACAGGAACACGAAUGUGCUUCUGAGGGCAGAUGCUCUUCUUUUUAAAGAAACCUAUCUUGACAAGAGCAGUGCUAACAAGCUGCUGUUUGGCAGCUGUUGUCAGCAAAGGUGCAGACAGCAAAUAAAGAACACAAGUCAAAGUAGUCAUUCUGCAGAAGGCCACAUUUCCAGAAUAACGCAGGUUACAUCACAUUACUGGAUUAAAAUUGUGUUCAUCACUGUAAUGUUGCAGCUGGUGAAGGUGGAUCUGGUUUUAUUCAGUUCAGAUCCUGCUGAGGAGUUUGUGGAUCAAUAAAAUAU